GUGGCUACAUGACUCCCUUCACCUCCUGCCCUCUGACUUCUGACCUCCGCUCUCUUUUUCCUCUCGCCCCUAGGGAAAUGUACUUCUGAAAAAAACAAUCAAGAUCUCCUUGAGCUCCAAAGCCUUGUCUUGCUCUCGCAACUCCAGACUUUCUGAAGCACUAAGUUCUGUCAAGCAAGCUUUCAGCUGUUUAAUACCCUAGGCUCUGCAUAACUCUCUGAUCUCUUUUUGUGCUACUUGCUCCUUCAAGGUCCUUUCUUCCGUCUCUUAUCUCCCUGCCCUGCCACUGGUUUUCUGGGUACCUGGUCAAGUCUCAGCAAUCUUUGAAAGGAGAGAGCAGUGUGUGCCGUGACUCCCCAGGCACUUUGAGAGCCUCUUAUCACUCCUGCUGCAAACGAACACCCGUGCCCCGUCACCCACGACCUCAUCAAGAAGCGGCCUUCAAAUGCAUGGACAUCCAAACCCAAGAGAAACCACAGUGGGUGGGAGUAUCUCAGUGGGAAGAUGGCAAUCAGCAGACCACUGUCAAAGAAGAGCCAAGAAAGAGUAGAAGGAGAGCUCCUAGGGGCUGUCUGGAAAACGGACAUGGGAGCAGGCGCAUUGAUGCGAACUAAAUAAUGCAAUGGCUACAGAUACCACGUGGGAAACAUCAAGUAAAAGGAACAACCUGGGCUGUCUCACAUCAGAUAGAACAAGUCACUUCUGGGACCCAGCCCAGCAUGUGAGACCCUCCGCAGCACGGGCCCAUCCAGGAUGCCCUUCCACAGAAUGGAAAUCCACUCAGAAGUGAAGACCCAGAGAUGACAACAGUGCCGUCCACAGGGUCACUAUCCCAGAGGAACGUGCACCUUAAAAGCAUCAGAGACUUGACAUAGAAGCCAUUUCUGCUCUUACUUUCAGAUCCCACAGAAGUCCUUUGGUUUUUGGCAUCCAGAUGUUUCCUGCUCUCAGAUUUUUCUACCGUGCACACCAUGGCUUCAUUCCCCCGAACGUUAGAGCAAUUUUAUGUACUGAAAGACUCAUCUAGAACUCCUUCUAGAACUGGAAGAAGAGAGAGGCACUGAGUCAGGAUUUUAAUAAUGCUCAUCUACGGGUGUGAGUGUGUGUCCAUAACUAUUGACUCUAUUGAGGUCCCUUUUUAUAGAAAUUAUAUAUGUUGCAUAAUGGAUUCACACUGUAUGUAAUAUAUAUGAACUGGUAGACAGGUGUAUGUCUAUAUAAGCAUGAAUAUAUUUAACACUUUGCUAUUAAAAUAAAAUUGGUUAAGUAUCGAUGCACACAUGAUAUGCUGGGAUACAAGGCUGACUAAUUAGUUGUCAGAGAAUACAAAAAGGGAGGAAAUGAAGGAAGGAAGG
rnacentral:lncRNA from 1 species